rnacentral:rRNA from 1 species
CACGUGGGAACGUGCCUUUUGGUUCGGAAUAACUCAGGGAAACUUGUGCUAAUACCGAAUGUGCCCUUCGGGGGAAAGAUUUAUCGCCAUUAGAGCGGCCCGCGUCUGAUUAGCUAGUUGGUGAGGUAACGGCUCACCAAGGCGACGAUCAGUAGCUGGUCUGAGAGGAUGACCAGCCACACUGGGACUGAGACACGGCCCAGACUCCUACGGGAGGCAGCAGUGGGGAAUCUUGCGCAAUGGGCGAAAGCCUGACGCAGCCAUGCCGCGUGAAUGAUGAAGGUCUUAGGAUUGUAAAAUUCUUUCACCGGGGACGAUAAUGACGGUACCCGGAGAAGAAGCCCCGGCUAACUUCGUGCCAGCAGCCGCGGUAAUACGAAGGGGGCUAGCGUUGCUCGGAAUUACUGGGCGUAAAGGGCGCGUAGGCGGAUCGUUAAGUCAGAGGUGAAAUCCCAGGGCUCAACCCUGGAACUGCCUUUGAUACUGGCGAUCUUGAGUAUGAGAGAGGUAUGUGGAACUCCGAGUGUAGAGGUGAAAUUCGUAGAUAUUCGGAAGAACACCAGUGGCGAAGGCGACAUACUGGCUCAUUACUGACG